rnacentral:rRNA from 1 species
GAUGAACGCUGGCGGUAUGCUUAACACAUGCAAGUCGAACGGUCUCUUCGGAGAUAGUGGCGGACGGGUGAGUAACGCGUAAGAAUCUACCUACAGACUCGGGACAACAGUUGGAAACGACUGCUAAUACCGGAUAUGCCGCGAGGUGAAAGAUUUAUCAUCUGUAGAUGAGCUUGCGUCCGAUUAGCUAGAUGGAGUGGUAACGGCACACCAUGGCGACGAUCGGUAACUGGUCUGAGAGGAUGAUCAGUCACACUGGGACUGAGACACGGCCCAGACUCCUACGGGAGGCAGCAGUGGGGAAUUUUCCGCAAUGGGCGAAAGCCUGACGGAGCAAUACCGCGUGAGGGACGAAGGUCUGUGGAUUGUAAACCUCUUUUGUUAGGGAAGAUAAUGACGGUACCUAACGAAUAAGCAUCGGCUAACUCCGUGCCAGCAGCCGCGGUAAU